CCCUUAGAUGUCCUGGGCCGCACGCGCGCUACACUGACGGAGCCAGCGAGCUUACCCCUUUGCCGAAAGGCAUGGGAAAUCUUUUGAAUCUCCGUCGUGCUGGGGAUAGAUUAUUGCAAUUAUUAAUCUUCAACGAGGAAUGCCUAGUAGGCGCAAGUCAUCAGCUUGCGUCGAUUACGUCCCUGCCCUUUGUACACACCGCCCGUCGCUCCUACCGAUUGGGUGUGCUGGUGAAAUGUUCGGAUCGGCCGUUUGUCGCGGUUUCCGCGUCAUGUGGCUGAGAAGUUCAUUAAACCCUCCCACCUAGAGGAAGGAGAAGUCGUAACA
rnacentral:rRNA from 1 species